rnacentral:lncRNA from 1 species
UUCAAAAGUUUUUUUUAUUUUUUUUAAUUUUGUGCCAAGUUAAAAUAGUAAUUCUUUUUUAAAUGGAGGGAGUGUGUAUAUAUAUAUUAGUGUGUGUGAGAGAGAGAGAGAGUGAUAGGGAUAUUUUAGUCAUGAAAAAAGUAAUUUUCUAUUUUUUUAUUUUUUUAUUUUUUUAAAUAGAAAUUUUCUGCUCUUGUCUUGUAUGUGAAAAAAUGGGUGGUUCUUUGCGUAUGUAUAAUGACUAGACAUCUUAAUAUAAUGAUAGUGAAGAGUAGGUAUAAUAUUUUUCGCAUUGAUAAUUCUAGUGAUUAAGUGUUUUAAAAUUAAAAUUGACUUUUAAGCACUUUUGAAAUGUUUGGAUGUAUUCUAAAAAGUGUUUAUGGAAUUUAAAUUUUAAGUUAAAAUGUUAAAAAUAAAUUAGGAUUUCUAAUUUAUGGCUUAUAAACCAAAAACUAAUCCAAAAAGGUACGGAAUUUUAUUUGCUAGGAUGAACUAAUUUAUUUUUUUUAAGAAAAAAAUAAUAGGAUAGGAGAUGUGGAAAAUGUGAAAGGGAAUUACAUGAUGGAAAAUGCAAUCCUCAUAAUUCAUAUAGACAAGCAACAAAAGAUUUUGAAUUUUUAGUUUGAAAGUAUUUUGGGAUGCAAUUAAAAGGGCUUUUUGUUGAUAUGUCUUAUUCUAUAUGUUUAUGCUGAAAUAUAUUCUAAGAUUUAAAAUGAGAAAAUAAAUAAAGACCUCUGAUUUUGUCAAGUUUUUCAAAAAGAUAUCUAAAUUAUACUUUCAAUUUAUUACCUCACGAAUCUUACUAAAUCAUUGCAAAUACACUAUUUUUUGUUGCAUUUCAAUCACAAAAUAGAGAGUGUAAUCAUGCACCAAUUACAGUUUGCCAUGUGUUAAAUAUUUAUUUUUUAUUUAUAUUUUUCUUAUUUUAUUGACUCUAAUUUUAUUUUAUUUUUUUCUCUUCUCCUCUAUUGUUAACAUCCUCAUCUUUUCACAAUACACUAUGCAUGCACAGAAUACUCGAUUCUUUUUUACUUUUUAACACACAAAAAUAUAUAUAAGAAAUGACUCUUGAGUGCACCGUUAUCGAUAAUUAUUGUUUCUUGUCUAUAUUACUCAUCACUAUUCGAAAUAAUAUUUCUUAGUCUUAGUUAAAUGAUAAGUACUAUACACAGAAAUCGAAAUUCAGCAAAAGUUUAAGGAGAGGAAAUAGGGAAGAAGAAAUCUGAAGGAGAAGAAAUAGGGGAAAAAAAUCGAGUGACACCAUUAAUGGAGAAGAAGAAAAAGAAGAAACAAAUAAAAAAGAUAAAGAAUGAAGAAAAACACCAUUAAUGGAGAUUAAUGGAGAAGAAGAAGGAAGAAGAAGAAGAAACAAAUGAAAAGGAUAGAAAAUGAAGGAAAAAAAAACUAAAAUGCAAAAUUUAAAAAGUGGGUCUUUUUUAUUACACGUGGCACAUUUUAAUUUGUUGGUUCAAUAUUUUUUUUCAUUCAAAAUCUAAAAUAUUAAGGAAAGCUAACAUAAAUAUUUAUAUUUUAACUUAUCAUAUUCACAUAGAUACUCAUCUUUACAAAAUAAUUAUAAAAAAUCUAAUUAAUUAUUUAUUUUCGUUGGAUACAUGGGGAGCUAAUUAUUUAUUUUAAAAAAUUCAAAAUUAGAAAAAGAUUAUUGAAAAUUAAUUAUUUAUAUUUAUAAGCAAAAAUGUAUUUUUAUUGGAUAUAUUAUGUAUUACGACAGACUAAAUUUAAAGAAAAGUAUUGAAAGUUUAUUAUGUAUCUUUACG